rnacentral:rRNA from 1 species
AACGAACGCUGGCGGCAUGCCUAACACAUGCAAGUCGAACGAGACCUUCGGGUCUGGUGGCGCACGCGUGCGUAACGCGUGGGACCCUUCCCUUAGGUUCGGAAUACCUCCUCUACGUGGGUGCUAAUACCGGAUAAUGUCUUCGAACACAAGAUUUAUCGCCGUUGUAUGCGCCCGCGUUGGUUUAGCUUGUUGGGAUUGUAAAAGCCUACCAAGGCGACGCUACCUAGCUGGUCUGAGAGGCAGAGCAGCCACACUGGGACUGAGAAACGGUCCAGACUCCUGCAGGAUGGAGCAAGGGGUAAUAUUGGACAACGGGGGAAAUCCUGAACCAGCAAUGCCGCGUGAGUGAUGAAGUCCGUAGGGUUGUAAAGCUCGUUUACCCGGGAUGAUAAUGACGGUACCGGGAGAAUAAGCUCCGGCUAACUCCGUG